rnacentral:rRNA from 1 species
AAAACGACUCUCGGCAACGGAUAUCUCGGCUCUUGCAUCGAUGAAGAACGUAGCGAAAUGCGAUACUUGGUGUGAAUUGCAGAAUCCCGUGAACCAUCGAGUCUUUGAACGCAAGUUGCGCCCGAAGCCCUUUGGCCGAGGGCACGCCCGCCUGGGUGUCGUGA